GAUCGCGCAAAGUGGAGGAAAGCAAGUAGGAAAGCGGACCCUGGCAAAGGCCGGGAUAACGCUAGGCCGGUUUUUAGGGUUCCGUAGCCAAAUGGCAAAAAACGGAACCCUUAUGGAUUCGUCAUGUCUGUCUGUCUGUCUGUCCGUGUAUGUCACAGCCACUUUUUUCCGAAACUAUAAGAACUAUAUACUGUUCAAACUUGGUAAGUACCUAGAUGUAUUCUGUGAACCGCAUUAAGA